CCCUAUGGGGUGCAGCAGGGAGAAGGGGAAGACGAUCGAUUUCCCUAUUCAGGGAACAGGGGAAGAGACGCGGGCAUUUAUUUAUAUUGAUGAUUUUACCCGAGGCCUGAUCACCGUGAUCGAUAAGGGCGAGCAUCUGGGGAUCUAUCAUAUCGGGACCAUGGAAGAGGUCACGGUGAGGCAGCUGGCGAGUGAGGUGGGCGGGUAUUUCGGGAGGGAAGUUCGGAUCGUGCCGGGAAAGCUCGCCGAGGGAGGGACCUUGCGUCGAUGCCCGGACACGUCCAAGGUGAAGAAGCUCGGUUUCUCGCCCGAGAUCUCAUUUAGUGAUGGUGUGAAACUUGCGGCAGCCUGGUAUGACAAGAAUUCUGACAAGAGACCUGCAAAAUAAAAAUCAUGGAGAUGACACAUGGAGAACGCUAAGGAAUGGGCGGGAGGGC
rnacentral:rRNA from 1 species